AUUGAACGCUGGCGGCAGGCCUAACACAUGCAAGUCGAGCGGAUGAAGGGAGCUUGCUCCUGGAUUCAGCGGCGGACGGGUGAGUAAUGCCUAGGAAUCUGCCUGGUAGUGGGGGAUAACGUCCGGAAACGGGCGCUAAUACCGCAUACGUCCUGAGGGAGAAAGUGGGGGAUCUGCGGACCUCACGCUAUCAGAUGAGCCUAGGUCGGAUUAGCUAGUUGGUGGGGUAAAGGCCUACCAAGGCGACGAUCCGUAACUGGUCUGAGAGGAUGAUCAGUCACACUGGAACUGAGACACGGUCCAGACUCCUACGGGAGGCAGCAGUGGGGAAUAUUGGACAAUGGGCGAAAGCCUGAUCCAGCCAUGCCGCGUGUGUGAAGAAGGUCUUCGGAUUGUAAAGCACUUUAAGUUGGGAGGAAGGGCAGUAAGUUAAUACCUUGCUGUUUUGACGUUACCAACAGAAUAAGCACCGGCUAACUUCGUG
rnacentral:rRNA from 1 species